UUCUCUUCCGAUCUCUGCGGGGUGCCCCGGCCGCUUUGGUGACUCUAGAUAACCUCGAGCCGAUCGCUGGCCCUCGUGGCGGCGACGUCUCAUUCGAAUGUCUGCCCUAUCAACUUUCGAUGGUACUUUCUGUGCCUA